rnacentral:rRNA from 1 species
UACGAAGGGUGCAAGCGUUAUUCGGAAUUAUUGGGCGUAAAGGGUUCGUAGGUUGAGAUAUAAGUCACAUGUGAAAACACCGAGCUUAACUUGGUACGUGCGUGUGAGACUGUAUUUCUUGAGAUUUGGAGAGGGUAGUGGAAUUGUUGGUGUAGGAGUGACAUCCGUAGAGAUCAGCAGGAACAUCAGAGGCGAAGGCGACUACCUGGCCAGAGACUGACACUGAGGAACGAAAGCGUGGGGAGCAAACAGG